rnacentral:piRNA from 1 species
UGGUGACCUUUGUGUCUCUUGGGACUGGA